AAGCAAUUAGUCCAAAGUAAGACCUUUGAUUUCGACUCAAAAAACCGUGGUUAAACUCCACGAUUGCUUU
rnacentral:tRNA from 1 species